CCUGUACACAUUCAAAGGUUCCCGGGCAUGGGAUUCCACCAAUUCCAGUUGGACAGGUACAGGUGAUAAGGGAAGUUCCACUGCUUUGGAGCAGCGUGGCUGCGUGGGAAAUAAGAAGGGUUCCUGAUGCCUCCAACUCUGGACGACACGGGAAAGCAGAAAGGAAACCCACUGCUGGAUUAAGGACCACUCAAGCACAGAGGAGGGAAUACUGAAUACCCUUUGGGGAAAAAGAAUACCACGAAAGGAAAAAGCUAGACAGGGGCAAUGGAAAGACAGAACUAAAGCAACUAAAACAAACACACAAGACUUCAUCUUCUAGAAUGCAGUGAGUAUUUCACAACUCUGUUUCUGAAAAGCAUGAGUCAGCAAGAGA